rnacentral:rRNA from 1 species
GAUGAACGCUGGCGGUAUGCUUAACACAUGCAAGUCGAACGGUCUUUUAGGAGACAGUGGCGGACGGGUGAGUAACGCGUAAGAAUCUACCCUCAGGUCGGGGACAACCACUGGAAACGGUGGCUAAUACCGGAUGUGCCGAGAGGUGAAAGGCUUGCUGCCUGGGGAAGAGCUUGCGUCUGAUUAGCUAGUUGGUAGUGUAAGGGACUACCAAGGCGACGAUCAGUAGCUGGUCUGAGAGGAUGAUCAGCCACACUGGGACUGAGACACGGCCCAGACUCCUACGGGAGGCAGCAGUGGGGAAUUUUCCGCAAUGGGCGAAAGCCUGACGGAGCAAUACCGCGUGAGGGAGGAAGGCUCUUGGGUUGUAAACCUCUUUUCUCAGGGAAGAAAAAAAUGACGGUACCUGAGGAAUAAGCAUCGGCUAACUCCGUGCCAGCAGCCGCGGUAAUACGGAGGAUGCAAGCGUUAUCCGGAAUGAUUGGGCGUAAAGGGUCCGCAGGUGGCAUUGUAAGUCUGCUGUUAAAGAGUUUGGCUCAACCAAAUAAAAGCAGUGGAAACUACAAAGCUAGAGUUUGGUCGGGGCAGAGGGAAUUCCUGGUGUAGCGGUGAAAUGCGUAGAUAUCAGGAAGAACACCAGUGGCGAAGGCGCUCUGCUAGGCCGAGACUGACACUGAGGGACGAAAGCUAGGGGAGCGAAUGGGAUUAGAUACCCCAGUAGUCCUAGCCGUAAACGAUGGAUACUAGGCGUAGCUCGUAUCGACCCGAGCUGUGCCGGAGCUAACGCGUUAAGUAUCCCGCCUGGGGAGUACGCAGGCAACUGUGAAACUCAAAGGAAUUGACGGGGGCCCGCACAAGCGGUGGAGUAUGUGGUUUAAUUCGAUGCAACGCGAAGAACCUUACCAAGGCUUGACAUGUCACGAAUCCUGUGGAAACAUAGGAGUGCCUUCGGGAGCGUGAACACAGGUGGUGCAUGGCUGUCGUCAGCUCGUGUCGUGAGAUGUUGGGUUAAGUCCCGCAACGAGCGCAACCCUCGUUUUUAGUUGCCAGCAUUAAGUUGGGCACUCUAGAGAGACUGCCGGUGACAAACCGGAGGAAGGUGGGGAUGACGUCAAGUCAGCAUGCCCCUUACGUCUUGGGCUACACACGUACUACAAUGCUACGGACAAAGGGCAGCUACACAGCGAUGUGAUGCGAAUCUCGGAAACCGUAGCUCAGUUCAGAUCGAAGGCUGCAACUCGCCUUCGUGAAGGAGGAAUCGCUAGUAAUUGCAGGUCAGCAUACUGCAGUGAAUUCGUUCCCGGGCCUUGUACACACCGCCCGUCACACCAUGGAAGUUGGUCACGCCCGAAGUCGUUACCCCAACCGAAAGGGGGGGGAUGCCUAAGGUAGGACUGAUGACUGGGGUGAA